rnacentral:lncRNA from 1 species
CAUCGCUGCUUGGAGUAUGCCAGAUGGCGCAUACUCCAUAGCUGGAAGGUCACAGCCUGAGCGGGACCUGAAUGUCCCUGGCUCCCACGGGAAGAAGGUUUCCUGGAGCCCAGCACAGCUCUCGGAGGCCGGUGGUGAUGCGCCAGUCAGCAACGCUCCUCUCCUCCUCUCCUUUCUCUGACUUGUGCUCCUGAUGCCACCUGGACCCUGUGAGGGAGGGGCGGCCCGAGUUCAAGGUCCCUGCAGGUAAACAACAGUGCGAAGCUCACAGUGGUCCUCCGCCAUCCCCAUCAACCACGCCUGGAGGAGACAGGACUGCAGCGUGGCUGGAGAGAAAAGGAACAGAGGAGUGGAGCUGCUCCUGCCAGUGUUCCCAGAAGAGGAUGUGUCAUGGGGAGGAUGGAGCCGCAGACUUGGGGAGCAGGGUGAGGACAGCCUUGACACCCCACAGCCCACCUUCCAGAAGACACGAGAACCUUCAGGGUCAGUGCUCACCAGCACGCCACCCCCGGAAAGUCUGGAAUCCUGUCAGAAGAGAAAAGUUCAUUAUCUCACAAGUGGGCCCUUUCCAGGUGCCGCCCCCUGGGGACAGAGGCGCAUGUGUUCACUGUCACAGUAAACUUUCUCCUUUCAUGUCAAAAUUGAUUCCCCAAACUCAUCAGAGCUCAUUACCUUCACUUUUGUAGGAUUAGCAGUACCAGGCCACCCCUCAAAACCUGUCAUACUAUAUUCAGAGCAAG